GUUGUAUAGUCAAGUAAUUAAGUGCAUGUGGUGGAUGCCUUGGCAGUCAGAGGCGAUGAAAGACGUGAUAGCCUGCGAAAAGCUCCGGGGAGGCGGC
rnacentral:rRNA from 1 species